UACGUAGGGCGCAAGCGUUGUCCGGAAUUAUUGGGCGUAAAGAGCUCGUAGGCGGUUUGUCGCGUCUGCUGUGAAAUCCCGAGGCUCAACCUCGGGCUUGCAGUGGGUACGGGCAGACUAGAGUGCGGUAGGGGAGACUGGAAUUCCUGGUGUAGCGGUGGAAUGCGCAGAUAUCAGGAGGAACACCGAUGGCGAAGGCAGGUCACUGGGCCGCAAACUGACGCUGGAGGAGCGAAAUGGCGUGGGGAGCAAACAGG
rnacentral:rRNA from 1 species